ACGAGGCACUAUGGACAUGUGUAUAAAUAAAGGACUUCAUAUAUAUAUAUGAUAUAUAUGAUAUACCAUAGUGGUAUUUUCACUUGGCUCAAAAUUUGUAUGUUUCGUUUAUCUGUAGACUAGCAAGACAAAUAAUUGCGUGGAUUAAAGAAGAUGAUAACAUCAAGGAUAUGUCUGAGGUUUCAAAUCUGGUGAAAUGAAAUGGGAGCCAAAAUAAAGUAGCUAGCCAAAAGGGUCUUCAAAGGAAAGUAAAGUUACAAGGAGAUCUUCUCUUUCCUCUUUUGAUGUAUUUCAACAUACCAUGGCUUCUACACCAUACAAAUAAAAUUGAAGGAGAGUGAAGAACGUGAAACAGUAGACACAGUUAAAUGAUUAUUCACUGAUAGCAGGAGAAUCAGGCAAAUCCCACCACCUGUUUAUGGCCUCCCAACACAGACUCACUGACCAGAGAAACCAUCAGUUGCUGCUACAACAUGGCUUGAUGAGUGGUGUCGGUCUGCACCUGAGAUCCAAACUUGAGAACCGGGCCGCUGAAGCGGAGCAUGCCAGACUUAACCACUACACCACGGGGCUGACACCACAGUGUUUUUAUUACUAAAUAAAAUAUUUUUCAUUAAA
rnacentral:lncRNA from 1 species